rnacentral:rRNA from 1 species
UACGUAGGGGUGCAAGCGUUAACCGGAAUUACUGGGCGUAAAGCGUGCGCAGGCGGUUUUGUAAGUCUGUCGUGGAAAUCCCCCGGGCUCAACCUGGGAAUUGCGAUGGAGACUGCAAGGCUAGAAUCUGGCAGAGGGGGGUAGAAUUCCACGUGUGAGCAGUGAAAUGCGUAAGAGAUGUGGAGGAACACCGAUGGCGCAAG